rnacentral:rRNA from 1 species
AUUGAACGCUGGCGGCAGGCCUAACACAUGCAAGUCGAGCGAGAGGCGGGCGGGUGAGUAAUGUAUGGGAACUGCCGGAUAGCAGGGGAUAACUACUGGAAACGGUAGCUAAUACUGCAUACUAUUGGAUAACACAUAUGGGAUUAGCUAGUAGGUGGGGUAAUGUCUCACCUAGGCGACGAGCCCUAGCUGGUCUGAAAGGAUGAACGGCAACAUGGGGACUGAAACACGGCCCAGACUCCUACGGAGGCAGCAGUGGGGAACUUUGGAAAAUGGGCGCAAGCCUGAUGCAGCCCGGCCGCGUGUAUGAAGAAGGUCCUAGGGUUGUAAAGUCCUUUCAGUCGGGAGGCGUUACCGACAGAAGAAGCACCGGCUAACUCCGUGCCAGCCGCCGCGGUAAUUC